rnacentral:rRNA from 1 species
UACGGAGGGGGUUAGCGUUGUUCGGAAUUACUGGGCGUAAAGCGCGCGUAGGCGGGUUGUUAAGUUAGAGGUGAAAUCCCGGGGCUCAACCCCGGAACUGCCUUUAAUACUGGCAACCUAGAGUUCGAGAGAGGUGAGUGGAAUUCCGAGUGUAGAGGUGAAAUUCGUAGAUAUUCGGAGGAACACCAGUGGCGAAGGCGGCUCACUGGCCUGGUAUCGACGCUGAGGUGCGAAAGCGUGGGGAGCAAACAGGAUUAGAUACCCCGGUGUCC